rnacentral:lncRNA from 1 species
CUUACACUUUUUGAUUCAAAAAUCUAAAUUAAAUUUUAAUUUUAUCAAAAUUAUUAUUUUUAAAUAUUAAUUUUUUUUCACCCUUAUCGAGGCCGAGCUGUCUCACUUUUGUAACCUAAUUUAUAAUUUUAAUGAGUGAAGUGGGUAGCAUGCUAUUUUAUUCUCCAAAAAAAAAAAUUUAGUUUAUUAGAAGGUUCGAUAUCCAUAAUUUAAUUAUUAUUUUUAAAAAAAUAAUUUAAAGACUAAAUAUAUAGUAAACUUUUUAGAUAUUUAAUUUAUCUUUUUUAUUUAUUAAUUUUUAUUAAAAUUUUUAAAUAAAAAAAUAUAUCAAAUACAGCUGGUGUCGGCUUAGUUACGCUGUAUAUGGUUAGCUACGAGCUUCUGCACCGUCCGGUCGAAGUAUUCGAUCGCAAUGUUGAUGUGGCUCUGUUUCUCUCACGUAUUCGAAUAAAUUUAUUUCUUCAGGCCCAUUCUGUUGCUUGGCCUAGGAAUGUCAAUGGGUAUGGAUAUCCGAAAUUAAUUCAAAUUUGAAUCCAAAUAAAACGGAUAUAUCCGAUGAAUAUGGAUAUGAAUUCGGAUAUGGAUAUCAAAAAAUAGAAAUCUAACGGAUAUGGACUCGGAUAUGGAUUUUGAUUGUAUCCGAUCCGAACUCGAACCCGAACCCGAUCCGAACCCGAAUUUAUUUUGUAUUAUAUAUAUAUAUAUAUAUAUAUAUAUAUAUAUAUAUAUAUAUAUAUAUAUAAAUUUGAUGUUAUAUUUGAAUUUUAUAUUUUAAAAAUUUAGAUUUAAUAUAAUAUAUUUUGAAAUAUUGAAAAAAAAUAAUUGUUUCGAGUACAAAUUUUCGGGUUCGGAUUCGAGUUCGGAUUUCAGAUUUUUGGUUGGGUUCGGAUUUGGAUAUGAAUUUUUAAAAUCCGUCGAAUUCGAGUUCGGAUUCGGCUCUCGGGUUUGAAGUCAAGUUCGGGUUUGGAUUUUUAAAAAU